GGAAUCUUCCACAAUGGACGCAAGUCUGAUGGAGCAACGCCACGUGAGUGAAGAAGGUCUUCGGAUCGUAAAACUCUGUUGUUAGAGAAGAACACGAGUGAGAGUAACUGUUCAUUCGAUGACGGUAUCUAACCAGCAAGUCACGGCUAACUACGUGCCAG
rnacentral:rRNA from 1 species